rnacentral:tRNA from 2 species
GGUGCUGUGGCCGAGAGGCUGAAGGCGGCGGUUUGCUAAACCGUUAUACGGUUGAAAAGCCGUAUCGAGGGUUCGAAUCCCUCCGGCACCGCCA